UAUAUGGAAGAAACACCAGUGGCGAAGGGCGGCUGUCUGGUCUGUAACUGACGCUGAGGCUCGAAAGUAUGGGUAGCAAACAGGAUUAGAUACCCUGGUAGUCCAUACCGUAAACGAUGAAUGCUAAGUGUUGGAGGGUUUCCGCCCUUCAGUGCUGCAGCUAACGCAUUAAGCAUUCCGCCUGGGGAGUACGGCCGCAAGGCUGAAACUCAAAGGAAUUGACGGGGGCCCGCACAAGCGGUGGAGCAUGUGGUUUAAUUCGAAGCUACGCGAAGAACCUUACCAGGUCUUGACAUACUAUGCAAAUCUAAGAGAUUAGACGUUCCCUUCGGGGACAUGGAUACAGGUGGUGCAUGGUUGUCGUCAGCUCGUGUCGUGAGAUGUUGGGUUAAGUCCCGCAACGAGCGCAACCCUUAUUAUCAGUUGCCAGCAUUAAGUUGGGCACUCUGGUGAGACUGCCGGUGACAAACCGGAGGAAGGUGGGGAUGACGUCAAAUCAUCAUGCCCCUUAUGACCUGGGCUACACACGUGCUACAAUGGAUGGUACAACGAGUUGCGAACUCGCGAGAGUAAGCUAAUCUCUUAAAGCCAUUCUCAGUUCGGAUUGUAGGCUGCAACUCGCCUACAUGAAGUCGGAAUCGCUAGUAAUCGCGGAUCAGCAUGCCGCGGUGAAUACGUUCCCGGGCCUUGUACACACCGCCCGUCACACCAUGAGAGUUUGUAACACCCAAAGUCGGUGGGGUAAC
rnacentral:rRNA from 1 species